CAGAGUGUAAAAACUCCCAAACCCAUUGUGAACCUUACCACUGUUGCUUCGGCGGACCCGCCCCGGGCGCUCCCAGCGAGUGCCCCGGAACCAGGCGACCGCCGGGGACCCCCAAACUCUUGUCUUUUUUAGAGGAUCUCUGAGUGUGAUUCUUACAAAUCAAAUCA
rnacentral:misc_RNA from 1 species